rnacentral:rRNA from 1 species
AGUGAACGCUGGCGGUAGGCCUAACACAUGCAAGUCAAACGGCAGCACAGUAAGAGCUUGCUCUUACGGGUGGCGAGUGGCGGACGGGUGAGGAAUACAUCGGAAUCUACUUUUUCGUGGGGGAUAACGUAGGGAAACUUACGCUAAUACCGCAUACGACCUACGGGUGAAAGCAGGGGAUCUUCGGACCUUGCGCGAUUGAAUGAGCCGAUGUCGGAUUAGCUAGUUGGCGGGGUAAAGGCCCAGCAAGGCGACGAUCCGUAGCUGGUCUGAGAGGAUGAUCAGCCACACUGGAACUGAGACACGGUCCAGACUCCUACGGGAGGCAGCAGUGGGGAAUAUUGGACAAUGGGCGCAAGCCUGAUCCAGCCAUACCGCGUGGGUGAAGAAGGCCUUCGGGUUGUAAAGCCCUUUUGUUGGGAAAGAAAAGCAGCAGGUUAAUACCCCGCUGUUCUGACGGUACCCAAAGAAUAAGCACCGGCUAACUUCGUG